CCCUUAGAUGUUCUGGGCCGCACGCGUGCUACACUGAGUGGAUCAGCGGGUCAGGUUACGCGAGAGCGUUUCCUAAUCUUCAAAUCCGCUCGUGAUGGGGAUUGACGGUUGCAAUUUUCCGUCAUGAACGAGGAAUACCUUGUAAGCGCGGGUCAUCAUCCCGCGCUGAAUACGUCCCUGCCCUUUGUACACACCGCCCGUCGCUCCUACCGAUCGAGUGGUCCGGUGAGGCUUUGGGAUCUAAGCGAAAAGAGCGUUUCGCUCCUUUUGCUGGGAGAACUCAGUCGAACCUUAUCAUUUAGAGGAAGGAGAAGUCGUAACA
rnacentral:rRNA from 1 species